CCUACGGGUGGCAGCAGUGAGGAAUAUUGGUCAAUGGGCGGGAGCCUGAACCAGCCAAGCCGCGUGAAGGAAGAAGGCGCCAGGCGUCGUAAACUUCUUUUGUCGGGGAACAAAGGGCGCCACGCGUGGCGUUGUGAGUGUACCCGAAGAAAAAGCAUCGGCUAACUCCGUGCCAGCAGCCGCGGUAAUACGGAGGAUGCGAGCGUUAUCCGGAUUUAUUGGGUUUAACGGGUGCGGAGGCGGGCAUUUAAGCCGGCGGUCAAAUGUCGGGGCUAAACCCCGGCCUGCCGUCGGAACUGGGUGCCUUGAGUGGGCGAGAAGUAUGCGGAAUGCGUGGUGUAGCGGUGAAAUGCAUAGAUAUCACGCAGAACCCCGAUUGCGAAGGCAGCAUACCGGCGCCCUACUGACGCUGAGGCACGAAAGUGCGGGUAUCGAACAGGAUUAGAUACCCGUGUAGUC
rnacentral:rRNA from 1 species